AUGCAGUCGAGCGGUAACAGAAAGGAAGCUUGCUUUCUUUGCUGACGAGCGGCGGACGGGUGAGUAAUGCCUGGGAAUAUACCCUGAUGUGGGGGAUAACUAUUGGAAACGAUAGCUAAUACCGCAUAAUCUCUUCGGAGCAAAGAGGGGGACCUUCGGGCCUCUCGCGUCAGGAUUAGCCCAGGUGGGAUUAGCUAGUUGGUGGGGUAAUGGCUCACCAAGGCGACGAUCCCUAGCUGGUCUGAGAGGAUGAUCAGCCACACUGGAACUGAGACACGGUCCAGACUCCUACGGGAGGCAGCAGUGGGGAAUAUUGCACAAUGGGGGAAACCCUGAUGCAGCCAUGCCGCGUGUAUGAAGAAGGCCUUCGGGUUGUAAAGUACUUUCAGUUGUGAGGAAGGCAGUUAAGUUAAUAGCUUGGCUGUUUGACGUUAGCAACAGAAGAAGCACCGGCUAACUCCGUGCCAGCAGCCGCGGUAAUACGGAGGGUGCGAGCGUUAAUCGGAAUUACUGGGCGUAAAGCGCAUGCAGGCGGUCUGUUAAGCAAGAUGUGAAAGCCCGGGGCUCAACCUCGGAACAGCAUUUUGAACUGGCAGACUAGAGUCUUGUAGAGGGGGGUAGAAUUUCAGG
rnacentral:rRNA from 1 species